CGACGCAAGAUAUUGAGGUCGUCCGAUCCCUAGUCGGCAUAGUUUAAUGUUAAGACUACAACGGUAUCUGAUCGUUUUCGAUCCCCUAACCUUCGUUCUUGAUUAAUGAAAACAUCCUUGGCAAAUGCUUUCGCAAUAGUUUGUCUUGCGUAAAUCCAAGAAUUUCACCUCUAGCAACGCAAUACAA
rnacentral:rRNA from 1 species